AGAGUUUGAUCCUGGCUCAGGAUGAACGCUGGCGGCGCGCCUAACACAUGCAAGUCGAACGGCACCCACCUCCGGGUGGAAGCGAGUGGCGAACGGCUGAGUAACACGUGGAGAACCCGCCCCCCUCUCGGGGAUAGCCGCCGGAAACGGCGGGUAACACCCGAUGACCCCGCAGCGAGGCAUCUCGCAGCGGGCAAAACCCAGGUGGAGGGGGAUGGCUCCGCGGCCCAUCAGGUAGACGGCGGGGUGACGGCCCACCGUGCCGACAACGGGUAGCCGGGUUGAGAGACCGACCGGCCAGAUUGGGACUGAGACACGGCCCAGACUCCUACGGGAGGCAGCAGUGGGGAAUCUUGCGCAAUGGGGGCAACCCUGACGCAGCGACGCCGCGUGCGGGAUGGAGGCCUUCGGGUCGUAAACCGCUUUCAGCAGGGACGAGACAAGACUGUACCUGCAGAAGAAGCCCCGGCUAACUACGUGCCAGCAGCCGCGGU
rnacentral:rRNA from 1 species